GUUAAAGAGCAGGAGAGGGAGCAAAAGAAGCCCGGCAGCUGGACGUCGCUGGAAGGAAGCAGAGAGCACGAAGCAGCGUCGAAAGGGGAGCGCGGAGAGGCUUUAAAAAUCAUAUGCUGAUCCCAAUGAACACAGGCAAACCAGAGCUCCGGCUGCCUAGGCUGUGCUGAACUUCUGUGCAGGGUGAACUUCUGGUCACGUUGGGUGAAGCAGCUUCCUUGCCCUGAAUUCUCUUCAUUUACUACACUUUUGUGAAUUGACUGCAGGUAGUUUUGCAUCAGGAGCUGUUGCUCUACAUGCCUGUUAAGUAUCAGACAGUGCCUGGCACGACGCUGUGUUGCGGCUGUAGGACAGCAGCACUGUUGGUAACGCGCAGAUGCCUUAGCUGUCGCUGAGCAGUGCCGCGCAGAGCCAAGGGCAUUUUAACUUCUU